rnacentral:rRNA from 1 species
UACGUAGGGUGCGAGCGUUAAUCGGCUUUACUGGGCGUAAAGCGUGCGUAGGUGGUCACGUCAGUCGGAUGUGAAAGCCCCGGGCUCAACCUGGGAAUGCCAUUCGAUACUUCGUGACUAGAAUUCGGUAGAGGGAGGCGGAACUCCAGGUGUAGCGGUGAAAUGCGUAGAUAUCUGGAAGAACACCGAUGGCGAAGGCAACCUCCUGGGCCUGAAUUGACACUGAGGCACGAAAGCGUGGGGAGCAAACAGG